CUCCCUGCGGGCUGGCUGUGACAGAGCUGCCCAGGCUCCCUGCCUGCCUCUGUCCCCAGCCCCCAGCGCCCAGCCCCAUACCCGGGGGCCCGGGGAGCCCACACUGCCUGUGGAGGGAGGAAGGAGGCCAGCCAUUCCUGGAGGGGCCCCCUGGGGCCCUGGUAAAGCAUCCACCCCCUCCUUGGUACUUCCGCCUCCAUGUGGCCUUGGCAGGGCUCCUGGGAGCCGAGCCAGAGGAAAACAGGGUCACAGGAAAAUCUGCCCUGAGCUAACAUCUGCUGCCAAUCCUCCUCUUUUUGCUGAGGAAGACUGGCCCUGAGCUAACAUCUGUGCCCAUCUUCCUUUACUCUAUAUGUGGGACACCUGCCACAGCCUGGCUUGCCAAGCGGUGCCAUGUCUGCACCUGGGAUCCGAACUGGCGAACCCCAGGCCGCCGGAGCAGAAUGUGCAAACUUAACCACUGCGCCACCGGCCCCGCCCCGAUAACUCAUAUCUUUAUAAGAAGAGGAGAAACACAGAGAGACACACAUAGACAGAGAGAAGAGGCCCCCUGAAGAUGGAGGCGGAGACUGGGGUGAUGCUGCCACAAGCCAAGGAACACCUGGAGGCCCCAGAAGCUGGAAGAGGCAAGGAGGGAUCCUCCCCCAGAACCUUCAGAGGAGCAUGGCCCUGCCAACACCUGGGUUUCAGACUCAAUGACCUCUUGGACUGUGAGAGAGUAGAUGUCUCUUGUUUUAAGCUGCCCGGUCUGUGGUACUUCGUAGGGCAGCUCCAGGAAACUAACACAGGCCUCGAAGGGAGGGGUGUGGAGAGUGAAUACCCCGUCCUCACUCUCCUCCCUCCCUCUCGCCUGCUGCGGUGUUCCCCAACCAGAAGGUGGAGGGCACGGGAGCCCCUUGUGGUCCACUCAGAGCCGCCUCCAAGGCAGGAAGUAGGGGAAGGUGGAGCCAGGAUCCGGAGGUGCAAGCAGAAGAUACUAGAUAAUAGUUAUUAUUACAGUGACAUCCCACCCAGAUCCCAAAGGAAGAGUUGUGGCUCUUCUGUCCCCAGGGAUGUGGAAACUGAAGCCUUGGCGACCUUGAUGGACCCCAGCCUGCCAGAUGCAGGGAGCUCUGCCGCCCGGUUUCUGUGCUGACAAUGAUAACGCUAAUGUUGGCAUCUCUGCACAUUUACUCUCUGCUCGUUAUCACAUCGGCAUCCACGAGAUUUGCCAGAGAGCCACCAUGUGCAUUCUUUCCCAUGCCCCCAGGCCCUCUGUUCCAGACCAUCAUGGAAUAAAACAUCAGGAAAGAGGGUCUCCAUUUGCAGGACGGUGUCCAGGAGAGUUAAGGUAGCGGC
rnacentral:lncRNA from 1 species